GUCAGCUCCACAGGAAACACGUGAUCUUUAAGAACGUAAAGUGGGGCUAAUCUUUACGACGUAAAGUGGAGCUCCACAGGAAACACGCGAUCUACACUGUGUUUGUACCAAGAGAGAGUCUGGACUAAGUCUUCGAACCUGAAUUGCCAUUACAUUAAAAGGAACAUUGUUUUAUAAACCAAAUUGUAAACAUGGAUCCCAGUUUAAAAGCGGCUUUGCUUUUUCAAGACAAAAUUAUACGGCGGUGCACACUACCAUGCCGGGACAAGGUACAUUGUCACCCGGACUUGGCUUCCUCCCUACAACUGUGAGGCACUUCAGUCCCUUCCUGAAGCUUGCAAAGAAAAUCAGUUCAGGGGAGUGGUCUGAAAUGAGUGGCUUUGAGUUGGAGGUAUGUGAUCAUGUGUGUGAUUAUAUCGAGAUUUUCUAAUACAGGUAUAUUGAUGAAAUGUGAUUUAAAGAGUGUUUUAUCCCAUUGUGAUAAUAAAGGGGUUUCCAAGCCAAGACUUUGGGGUUGACUGUGGCAUCUACAUGUUGAUGUGUUGUGCACCAGGAGCUCCAUGGAAUGGGCUUCCAUGAACCCAGCAGCUGCAUGCAAGCCUCACAUCACCAAGCAUUAUUCCCAGUGUUGGAUAAAGUGGUGCAAAGCAUGCUGCCACUGGACUCGAUCAGUGGAAACAUGUUUUGUGGAGUGACGAAUCAGGUUUCUCUGACUGACAGUCUGAUGGACAAGUCUAGGUUUGGCAGAUGUCAGGGAAACUUUACCUAUCUUACUGCACUGUGCCAACUGUAAAGUUUGGUGGAGGUGGAGUUUAACUGAGUACCAAGACAUUUUGGACAAUUCUAUGCUCCGGACAUUGUGGGAAGAGUCUGGGGAAGGAGCUUUUAUGUUCCAGCAGCCUGCUGGUGGAUGAUAGGAGUGUGGAGGACCGGUAUCAAGUCUGGUGGUGGAUGAUGGUAACAUGGAGGUCCAGUGCCAAGCCUGGCAGUGGAUGACAGGAGUGUGGAGGACCGGUACCAAGCCUGCUGGUGGAUGACAGGAGUGUGGAGGACCGGUACCAAGCUUUCCGGUGGAUGAUGGGAGCCUGGAGGACCAAUACCAAGCCUGCCGAUGGAUGAUAGGAGUGUAGAGGACCGGUAUCAAGUCUGGUGGUGGAUGAUGGUAACAUAGAGGACCAGUACCAAGCCUGGCAGUGGAUGAUGGGAGCGUGGAGGACCGGUACCAAGCCUGCUGGUGGAUGACAGGAGUGUGGAGGACCGGUACCAAGCUUUCCGGUGGAUGAUGGGAGCCUGGAGGACCAAUACC